CCUUAGCCCCGAUAGUAGCGGUUACCCCACAGCAGGUGUUGGAAAAGCGGUGGCGCGAGGAGUAAUAGCGGAUAGCGGGAAAUAGC
rnacentral:sRNA from 1 species